GGAAAAGCUCGGCGCACCACGUGGCCUCCCUUGGAGGAGCCAAGCCGAGCGCGCCCCGAAAGAUCAGGUUCUUAAAACACUUACGAACCACACCUUCAUCUGAACUUAUAUAUUUCCAAUUACCAUAUACAGGUAAUCCUCGACUUAUGACCACAAUUGAGGCCAACAUUUCUGCUGUUAAGCAAGAUAUUUAAGUUCAAUAGUUUCAUUGGCUGAUCUGGACUUGCGAUUGAACCUACCUGCCUGAAAACCCCAGUGCUGAAGCCAAACACCAACUGAUCUCUCCAAGGCAACACAACAGAAGCAGAAGCAAUGUUUCCUGAUUGCUUAUUUGUACCCUAUGAUUAUCAUGAAGUGUUGUAUCAUUAAGUGUUAAAUUUGUACCCUAUGACCAUCAUUAAGUGUUGUAAGUGUUGUACUUUGAUGAAGGUAUCUUUUCUUUUAUGUACACUGAAAGCAUAUGCACCAAGACAAAUUCCUUGUGUGUCCAAUCACACUUGGCCAAUAAAGAAUUCUAUUCUAUUCUAUUCUAUUCUAUUCUAUUCUAUUCUAUUCUAUUCUAUUCUAUUCUAGGUAGUUGUUAAGUUUUUUGCUUUUACACCUUCAGAUUAGUCUCAGACAGUCAACUUCUGCCUGCUGGUACACCACUUAGGACUAUUCCACUCUUUUCUGAGUCCAAUGCAACUUCAUAUAUUGCAGCCCCCUCUCACUAAAACCAGCUCUGUUCAAGGUCAAUUAGAGUGUCUCCAGUCCCAUUUUCACCUGCCUUUCACAGUAACUUUUUAAAAAUCAAUGUUAAUGUACAGUUGCAAUCUAUAUUCAUGUUAUAGCUUUUUAUUGGAAACUAGCUUUAUAGAUGGCCUGGCAUAUUCAGUUUUAUACUGCGGUCUUAAAGAAAUUAAUAUACAAGUAGUGUAGAUAAAAGAACUACCUCUUUGUUGAUUGUGAGGUAAAUCGUUCUAAGAAUUUACCAUUAGAUGUCACUAGUUACAAAGUCGCUUUUGAGUCACGUCACUGAAGAAGCUUCAAAUGUGGAGGCUUAGGGUGGAAUUAUAAUUUUUAACUUGUACACUUUUAGUGAUCUUUCUCUUGCUUUAAAACAGGGCUGGGGAAUGAUGGCCCUUUUAAUGACUUGUGGACUUCAACUCCCAGAAUUCCUGAGCCAGCCAUGCAGAGAGAACUUGGGAGAAGAAUUUGAAACAGCUGCACCAGCCUAGAAAAAUACAUGACUGCUUUAACAAUGCAAAAAGCUGCCCCUUAUAGAGUCCUAAAGCUUUGCAUAGCUCUGUCUUCUCAAGAUAAUUAACUAUAUGAAGGGAACAGAGACUUUCAACACAGUACAGAGAAACUAAUACUUCAAACAUUUAUUAAAAUCUCUACGCACUUUCUUCUUCCUUCUCCUCCUCAUGUUCAAGUGAUUACCUUAGUCACUUGAUAGAAUAAAACAAGCUAACCUUUAUUGUCAUUUGGAUGUAUACACAAUGGCACAUGUUAAAAGUAAUUAAAAGGCAUCAAUUGGCUUCAACAAUUGGCUUCUAUGGAAUGUCUAUGGAAUCCAAAUUGGACUGUUUUCUCAAUCCACACAAAUCGUUCCAAACCAAAAGUUGCUUCAUAGGCCAAAAUUUUCUGGAGAUAAUCUAUGACAAGAAUCAGCAACAUAUUCAAGUGAAGGGGAUUUUUUUUAUUUUUCAUUGAUGUAUGUUAAAGAUAUCAAAAAGAAUUAUAUAAUUCAUUUUUUUAAAAUAGAUCAGAGUUUAUGAAAUCUAAUGUACAAACAAUGAGAUUUUGUAAUAUUUGUACAACUCAUGGAAUCUGGAUCAAUAUUUAAUACAAAAACUAGAAAUUUAGAGAUUCUUGAAUGCCAUCUAGUGGUACUAGGCUAUUGUGCUAGCAAACACUACACUGUUAAUCCUUAAACUAUGUAAAAGAAAAUACACUUUAUUAUUUUCCGUGGCAGCAGGUUAAAUUCCAUAUAAAUGAAUCAGGUAACCAAAAUAUGUGAAAAUUUCUAACAUUCAAGCCAAAGAACAUUUAUGCAUAUGAAUUUAGAAAAACUGCUUUGUAUGAAUCCAUACUCAACAUGAAUAUUUUUUUUUCCUUGAUAAUGAUUUGCCUGAAUAAUGGCAUUAUUUACAAUGAAUGCUUGUAAAAACAUAUCAUUUAUUCGCUUGCUCAUUAUAUAUUUAUCCAAUUUUUAGACAAUCACUGCUUUCUAAACCUGAUCACUUCAAUUUAAAAAAAAAAAAGACCCUGACCUCAGAGAUAAAAAUGAGAAAAUAAGUUUUUCCAAGAUAGAAUAAAGGGACAAGUCAUAAGCCAGUUAUCUAUGUUUUAGCCCAUAUAAUCUUCACUUAUUCUGUUGUGAACAUUAUGAUGCUCCCCUUGUAGAGGGAUGUGAUCGGAUGGUUGCCUUUCAGCUCUCCACAGAGCUGAAAGUCACAGUAUCACAUUUAAUAGGAACUGAGUAAUGUCUGUGGAAAGGAAUAGAAAGCAGGUUCGGUCCUACUUCUUACCCUGGCAUUCUUGUGGCGAGGCAGGAAAUGAAGAUGUCCACUGCCUUUGGUCUCUUUCUGUUUGCUAAAAUUAGAACACUGUGCAUCAUAACCAUUUAAGUCUCCAAUCAGUAGUCCUAUAUACGUUACAGAAAGAUCAUUCUAAGCAUAUCUUGCAGUAUCUACAUUCCAGCUUCAGCACCGUGGGAUAAAUCUCAGCUUAUGAAUCAUUUGUGACAAAACUAGCAACUCAUAGAUUCAGAUCCCGAGUUGUUCUUCUGUUUAUGAAAAUGGGAAGGAGGCAAAUCUGGCAAUUUCCUCUUUACCUCAUUCCUACCACUAUCACCACCAUCCAUAAACAUCCCCCAGCAUCUCUAGGCAGCCCACAAGAACAUACUGAAUCUGUGUAUAUGUAUAUAGAUAGCUAAAGAAGAAAAUAAUUUGAAAACCCCAUGGUGUUAGAAGAAACUGUUCACAGAAGGAAACUUCAAAGUUAAGAUACAUGUUUCCCAGAAGAACUUUUGUCUGUCAGGCCACAAACCUGCUUAUGACAGAGCAUAUUCUCUCCCCGCCAUUAAGUACUAGUCCAUAUUAUUAGGGCUUGAGCUGAGCAGCUUCUGGGGUGAAAGCAAACCACACUAAAUAAAAUGUACUCAGCAAAACCCGGGUGGCAAGAAGUUAAUUCAGCAGUUUUAUGUUGCAGCAACUGCAAAAGGCUGAGAUUCAAGCAUCCCAACACCAUUCAAUGCUGCCAAUGAGGUUUAUUACUUAAUGAGAGGCCCUAAAAAGAACAGCAUGUCUUUUAUUUACGGGUAAUAGGACAUCAGUGUCAAUUGCAAAGCGGCCUAAAUGCUAUUGCUGGGUCUCUUGGUUUGUUAAGAAGUUCACACUGGAGUGUGCAUAAUCUUUCAAGCAGUCCCGGGAAAGGCAACUGCCAUAAAGGUAACAGAUUGCUGGCUUCCAUUUAUAGUCUAAGAAUGGGUGUAGGCAGCCUGACUGACCCAAUUUUCAAAUAUGGAAAGCUAAACACCACUGAGUUUCAAUUGGAACUUGCUCCUCGUAAGCAGCCUGUAAGAAAAGCAUCAAUGAACACACUUUAAAUUCUAAAAUCUAAAACCAUGCUUUCUUUUCCCUAGAAUUUUUGUUCUACAUUUUGCUCAUUGACAGACGUACCCGUCAAUCAUGUGAAAAAGUAUCUUAAAUGACUCAUCUCCCGUCAGAAACAUGAGACAUUUUUUUAAAGAAAGAAAGUACUGCAUCUAAAAUACCUUCAGCGCACAUUUUUUUUUAAAAAGGUGAAUUAUACUGGCAUAACAAUGUUGAGUUACUAGAAAUGGAGCAAAGGAAGGAAGGAAACAGGGAGGGUAUUGCUGGCAUUGGACUGCAGGUAGUCCUUGACUUAUGACUGCAGUGAAUCCUGCCCAUCACUGUAAUAAAUCAUGACAAUUUCAUGACCUUCUUUGUGAUGGUCAUUAAGCGAAUACUGCAGUCGUUAACCCAGUCCACUAUAGGUACAGUUUUACCGAAAAACAGAACAGUUUUUGGCUUUCAAGAAAACUGUCAUAAAACACAGUCAAGUGGCUACGGGAUGAUGCAAAUGGCCAUAAAUGCAUCCUGUUGCCAGGAUGGGUCAUGUGACCGUGGGGCAUGGGCAACUGUCAGAAUUUCAAAUCUGGGUCAUAAGUAGCUCCAAGGUAAGUCCACUGUAACUUCAAAUGGUAAAUAAGCAACCAGUCAUAAAUGGACUGAUUAUGCCAGACCAUCAGGAUUAUUCAGGUAUUUUAUUCAUUUAUUAACCUAAUUUACAUCGCCAUGCAAUCACAGGAUUCUUGGAAGUUCACAAAAUUUGCAUACAUGUGUGCACACACCAACACACACACACAUUUCUGAUAUAAAGACACAGACAGCGAUAUAUAUAUAAAAAUAGUAAGACAAAUUAAAACCAGAUGCAAUCCAGUAACGGGUAUUUGUCUCCAAAAGCCCUCUGGAAAAUCUCUGCCUUUAGCUUUUUCUAGAAGGCAGAUAGUGUUGGAUUCAAAUAAACACCCAAUAGGAGACCAUUCCAGAGGAACAACCUCAUGUAAUGCUUCAGUCUCCCUCUCUCCCUCAUAAUACUUUUUCUGCAAAAUUCACAGAAUAUAUUUUCAGACUAUAUUUUCUGGAGGUUAACUAUAUAUAGUUAAUUGUUAGUUUUAUAUCUGACAUAUAUCAAAUGCUUACUUACAUCAAUCAAAUGCUAACUUACUAUUACUGAUUCUUAAUUUCUGUCCUAGAAAUCCAAAAUGCUUAAUAGUUAAAUAAUUACUAAUCAAUAGUAGUUAGUACAUAAUAAUUAAAUAAUUAGUAAUCUCUUAAAUUUAAAAAGUCUAGACAGUUCCUUGUAUUUAAAAUCAGACAUUGUUUAAAUUAUACACAAAUCUCUCUAUCAGAAGAAGACUUUUUGUUCUUUCCAACAAGAACAAAAAGCUUCUUCUGGGGGAAAGGGUUUUUUUUCCCCUUCCAGAUUACUGAUAAGAGCUAUAAGCAUGUUUAUGCAAAUUAAGUCUAUUAACAAUCACAAAAUUCAUUGACAGAUUUCUUUAAGCAGAUGACAACUUUAAAAUGAACUCUUUACAGCAUGGCUUGAAGCCAUAUAAGCAAUAACUUUAAAUAUAUGUAUUAGUUAUAAAAAAAUACACCAUAUAUUAAGUUU